rnacentral:lncRNA from 1 species
GUCUUAGGAGAGUUGGACACAUUCAAAACACAAUAUGUGAUUAAGAAGAUUAAAGAUUAAUACUUAUUGAUGGAUUACUAUGUGCCAAACUUCCAACCGAAUCCUGACAACAAUUCCUUAAGAUGUGGAAACUGCAGUUCACUGAGGUUGACAUUUCCGGGUUCAUACAACAAGGAUGGGGAACAAUGGUUCAGGAUUCACUAAUUCAGUAUUAGCAGCAACUUUACGGAACAAAACUACUGUGGAUAAUGAGAAUUCACUGCGCCCGUUGUUUAAACAGUUAACAGCAGUCACUUUAGUGCCUUUUGUAGAGACAGAGCACUAUGUGAAGAUUGUGCCUGCUUCCUCUUUGCCUUCCACC